CCGCUAGCUUCAGAGAGGUCUCAUUAUUUAAUUAUCUUAUUAUAUUUCUUCUUAUUUCAUUAACUUCUGUAUUAUUGUCGUGAACUCCUUUUUUACUUUGAAGAACUACUGAAAUUAAACGUUUCAGUAUUUUUAAAUCUUUUUGAAAGGAAAUGCAUUUAAAGCUAUACAUUGUCCUCAGAGUGCUUCUUUGGCUAUAUUUUACGGGUUUUGAUGUAUAACGUUCUCAAUUACAUUCACUUUGAAUAGCUUUCAAUUUUACCUUAGAUUUCUUUUGACACUGUUUUUUAUUUUAACAUGUUAACUUUACUUUUGGGGAAAGAAGCUACCCUUUUAUUCUUUGUAUCUGGAUCUGGUCUAUAUAUGAGCUGGUUAUGAUUUGUACACUUUCAAAUUAAGAUGUUAUUGGGAGAAAAGGAUACAGUUGAUUUUUAUAAAAUUUCCUCACGUUUUUGAAAAUGUGCAUUGUUUUGGAUUGAAACGGUAUGUUCAUAUUUUAUAUUUUAUAUCUCUUGCUGUACAAUCACAAUUGUGAAUUUUAUUUACAUCCUUGCUUUUUUAUGUUUUCAUUCUUUCAAUUUUUAAAAUAAGUUGUUGAAGUGCCACCGUGUUUUUGACAAUUAGAGCAAGGCAAAUUCUGCACUUUUAUAUCUUCUCUGGGUUCCCAAUAAACUGAGAACAGAGCCAGAUGAGUGCCAAGAGCAGGGAUGGCUUUAUUAUAGAGAACUAGUUUUGUGCCUAAGGGCAAAUGGAAUUGUCCUUUCCUUCUUCAUUGAAUUGAGGAAACUUGGUCUUGCCGCCUAGGAUGACCAAGUUACAUACUCAGCUGAAAGCUAGACACUUAGGAACAAAAGAGUAGAGUGCCAGAGGUAGAAAUGUGCAAAGUCCCACAAUGGUAAGGCACAGACAUGUUUUAAAAAGAGCCAAGUAAAUGAGAACACGCUCUUUCUGCUUGAAUUGGGGGGGGGGGGUAUCCGGAUGUCACUUUCUCCACUUUCCACUGGUCAGAUUAUUCUCUCUCAGAUAGAAAACUGCACAUGAAGGAGAUGAAGGAGGGGAAGGAGAAACCAGCCAGGGGUGGGAUCAGCUCCCUUACUUCUCUGUAGACACGAGAAACAAGGAGACUGUGGCUUGCAGUUCCAGAGCAGAGAUGUUGUUGUUCUCCAUGGAAGUGAAUUGAUGCCCCUCCGGGAGUCUGGAUGCUAUCAAGAUGAAAAAGGUUCAGUGUUUCUUCCAGAAGCAGUAAAUCAGAUCCUUUGUGAGUUGUGCACUCAAUCUCUUUCUCUUUCUUUCUUUGAGGAGUGGCCAAGCCAGAGUGAUGCUCCUGUCUUCGCUCCUUGGAAUGAAGGUGGGGAAGGAUGCCCGAGUCACCAAGUCCCCUCCUCCAGACCCACAGGCCUGCUGGCUUCCAUUUGGCUUACAAGUGCCCAAAUACCCAGAGCUGCCCUUCACUCCCCUCCAGAAUCCCUCCCAUGCCCUCACAUCCUUUCUGGAACAGACUGGCUUCCUCUUGCCUUAUCUCCACGUUCCAAUGCUUGGGGGUCUUCUCUGUUCCACUUCACUAGGAAUGAGUGAGGCCUCAUCUGGUGAGCCGGGCCAUGCUGAUGUACUCCCUUCUUGUGUGUUCUCCCAGGCAAAAUGCCUGGGCCCACCAUGGCACUCUUCUUUAGGAGGGCCUUCCAAUGUCUUUGGGAGGCCUGGUGGCAGGAGUUCCAUCGGUGUUAACUUCAGCAAUGAAAUUAACAGUGAUGAAGGUGUAAUCGUCUUCAUUCGGAAGUUAAUUGUGUAAAUAUCAGUGAAUGUUUUGGAGUUCGGGUGCCUGGUAACUUCAGUGGGAGCCAGCGUCCCCAUACAUUGCUACAAAGUCCAUCUUGGCCUACAUGAAUGGAGAGAUGGAGUGUGGAUCAGAGGAGCUAACUCUGCUGUCCUCUGUGCUGGCUUCUUGGUCCGGAACCUCAUAAUUCACCUGUCGAUUGCACUAUAGAAAGAACCUUGAAAACGAAUCCAAGAGACAGUGAUGAACAUUUUGAGGAAUCUAGAAACCAUGCUGCACGGAGGCGCUGCCCUUCUCGGAAGGUUAAAAGCUAAGCCGGCUCUGUAGGAAGCAGCUCCAGUGUUUAGCCAAGUCUGGUGGAGUCACUUGCCCUGCCUCCGUGCAGUGAACUUGAGUCGGCGCUUUUCCACUCUGCGGAUGGGAAGCUUGGCAGUAAACCGGCAGACUAGUCUGAUGGCACCGAGCAGGGCUUUGGAGGCUGACGUUCACACCACAGCAUCUUCAGGACCCACAGCCUUUUCAUGCAGAUACGCAGGAAUAAGACUCCUUCCAUGUGCCUUACCCGGCAGAUUCUAAAGGAAAGAGAAAAGCAGAAGGAAAGGAACACUGGUGUUGAAUUUACUAAGAAAAGCAAGUUCCAGUGGAAUCCUGAAGUUGGUCCUCAUUCUUCCCGCUAAUCUACGCUUUUAUUUUGCUUACAUUUUAAAACUUCUAUUUUGAUAUAAUUUUUACGUACAAAGAACGGGGGAAAAAGAGUGCAAAGCCUUUCUGUGUACCUUUUGCCCAAAUUUCUCAGAUGUUAGAGUCUCAUGUAACAUGAGACCAAUGACCAAAGUCAGGAGAUUAACUCGAUGUGAUGCUAGUCUAAUCUACAAGCCUUAUGCGGAUUUUACCAGUUUUCCCACAAAUGUCCCUUUUCUCGUCCAGGUCCCAAAUCAGCCUCAUAUGUUGGAUUCAGAUGUAUUCUGAACCAUCUGACUAUUCACAUGGAACAGUCUUAUCUACGCCUUCGGCAAAUUUAAUUCUAGAGAAGGAGAAUGUACCCAUUAGAGAAUUACCGAGUGUCUGCUUGGCCUGGGCUGUGCCCUGCUCGGGAUGAGGUGAUACCACAUGGAAAAGGAGAGACACCAUCCCUGCCAUCUGAAGGUUCUUAGUCUCGUGUUGAACACAGACAAUAAAACCAGCAGUUUCCAUGCAGAAUACCACUUACCAUUAAAAGGAAUGAAGGGAACAUACUGGUUGGGAGGGGAGACACUUAACCCAAUUGGGAAGAUGUGAGAAGAGAUUUCUGGAAAAGAUGAUAUUGGAGUUGAGGCCCAUGGGAUGAGUAGGAGUUACGCAGGCUGGGAGAAGGUCAUUGUGGUGUGAGAUCUUACAGGCAGUGGCAAUGGCAUUGGUGAAAUUCCAGUAGCAUAGGACAAUCUGCUCUGAACACUGACCUGAAAUGCUUUCUGGCAUCUGGACAUGAGACAUGAUGUGGGGAGAGGUGUGCAUGGGGCUGGAGAGGCAGGGAAUGGUCAAGUGUGCAAAGGCUUGGAAGUUGUAUGAAGGGUUUAUUUUUGACCACAGAGCAAUGGCCAGACAUUGAAUAAUGUUUUGUAUAGGAGGAUGGUGACCAUGUUUGUGUUUGAAAAGACUACAAGAGAUGAUGUUGGCCUGAAUCAAGAUGGAGCAGUGGAUAUAGAGACACAUAAAAAAACCCCAAGAUUUGGAGGAAGCAGGAUUGAUAGGAUGUAGAGGUUGGUUGGAUGGAGAUGUAGAGAUUGGUUGGAUGUAGAGAUUUGGCUGUGUGGACAGGGUGAGGGAGAGGCAGUGAUCAAAGGUGAAGCCCAGGCUCUGGCUUUGGCAAUGAGUGGAAAUUGGUGCCUUGUACCUUCUCGAAGAUAGAAGACACAAUGGAAGGAAUGGUUUCGAGGGUGACUCUCACGCUGAAGUGCUUGGGUAACCUGUGUGAAGUCCCAAUCCAAGGCUGUUGGCUUUAUUGCAUGCCUCCUAACUCUUGUUAAUCCAGCAAGCCACUGGGUGUGAAAUUGUGAAAUACACAUUCAGGCGCUCUUGAGAAGCAGACUUCAUAUGCCCUGGUGCCCAUCACUGGAGAGCCCACAGCCACGGCUGCCCCAGUAUUGGGAAGACACUGCAAUAAGGUGGAGCCCAAACCUGGGCAGUGAUUUCUGUUGUGAUCUUAUUCAGCUGGGAGAGCAGGAGAGACUGGGUUCGAUCCUGUCGAGAUGGGGUUAGGAGAGCACCAUAGAUAACGGGAGCCAUCCCAACACCACAGAGGGGUUUGCUGAGAGUAGAGGAGCAGAGGUCCAGGCCAGAACAGGCAAUUGGCUGGGAUAUUAGGACUUAGGAAAAUGCCAGGAAGUGGAGGAGGGACAUCCUUUCCUCCAACCUGUCAGACAAGGGCCACGAGGGGCAAGAGAACUAGUCAACAUAGAGCUCUUUGUACAUGGAAGCCCCCACAAUAGUUUCUGUUCUGCCAUUUGCUGAUGAGGAAGGUAGGGUUCCAUGAGGUUAAUGACCUGCUCAAGGUCACAUAGUAAGUGUAGAGCCACAACUUUGACAAAACCCUGACCCUAUAGCUCUUUCCUCUGCUCUAUGCCACUGAUAUGAAGUGGAAACUCCUGGUCCAGUUUAAGCAACUGUCAAAACUGUCUAGGUGUGGGCAGGUGGGGGAUGCCUGAACAGAAAGAGCAAAGAGAAAGUUUAUUGUUGCCACCCUGAAGUAGUCACUGGCACAAUGCAAAGCUCUGGCCGUCAUCGGGAAUAUCCCUCCUGAAGAGGGAAAAGAGUUGGACAAGACCUAAUUCCAGGGAAUAGAGUUGAGGGCGCAGCAGGAAGGACGGUCACACAGCAUUGCACGGGGAACAAGCUGGCCUCUGGCACGCAGAGCCCAGCCAAAAAAGUCACAAGUCAGGCUGGCCGGGUCUGGUGUGAGACCCUGUCCCGAUGCUCCCUCCUCAUCCUUGAUUCAGGGUCUGUUCUUGACCCACUGCAAGGCUAGUCUUGAGUAAGAGCUGAUCUAGAAGCAGCGAGGCACCAACUCCAGGAGUCUUGUUGAUGCUUAUGGAAGCGGCCUUUUCCCUUUUGACCCAUAUUCACCCCGGUUUGCAGACUUGCUCCAUUCCGACAGGCUAGGCUGGAAGCACUUAAGAAGAAGAAAUCUCAGCUGGACUCUUCCUCUCCUUCCAGCAUUGGGAGAGAGGGAAGUGUGCUCCCCCCAGCAGUCAGUCAGCCUCUCGGUGGCUCAGCUGGAGGGGGAAAUCUAGGCAGGGGGUGUGUGGGGGUGCAAUUUGGCUUAACUAAAUCUUAUGGGGGGCACUAAGAACAGGGGAAAAAGCAGGACUGGAAUGUGAAGAGUGGGCGGGGAACGACUUGGCCUGCCCCAGUUUCUCAUCUGCCAGGACUGUAGCUGAAUGCUAUCAGGUAGCAUUAAUUGACAUUCAAGGUCACUGCGUCCCCUCUCCAUGCUUGGAUAAACUCACUGCCCACAGAUUGGCAUCCAGUCUGUGCUCACAGCCUGAUUGCAGACCUAAGAGGCAGGAAUGUUGGCUAGCCUGGCAAGGGAGAAAGAUAUUCCUGGUUGGAUGCAGGACUUCUUCAGCUAUCAGAUACCCUGGGACCUCCGCUCCAAGGAGCUUUUGGACCAGGUAGAGAGAGCACAGACAAGCAGCCACAACUUGAAAUGUAUUUAUGGACUGACAGUCCACAACAAAUAUCUGGGCAGCAUCCCUAAAAAAAUGAGUCAGGGGUCUCCUAUGCAGAAUCUGGGGGUGGAAGUGAGCAAUGUGAAUAUUUUUGUGUGUGCGCUAAAAUCUGCUUUUUGUCUUGGGAAAAGAACCUCAAGCUUCUUCGAUCCCUUUCUAUCAUGUAUCCUUGGCAGCUCUGGGAGAUAUUUUCCCUAUUAAACAAACCAACAGCUGCUGGUUUUGGCUACAGUUUGCUUUCCUCAGUUCUUGGGCGGAAAGAAGAUGUUCAGCUGUCCUCAAGAGCUAUCAGUGGAAAUCAAAAUAAAAAACCCAGAACAGAUGGGCCUAGAGGAUGGAAACCCCAAAGGGCACUGUGGGUUCCCAUCCUCAGUAGAAAGCUGCAAAUGCUCAACGGUUAUAGGGUUCUCCUCCUGCCCAGGCCUGGCCUCGUGUGCUCAACUCCAUACUGAGGGGAUGUGUGGUGUUCCUCCCAUCUGAACUUUCAGGAUAGAGGGCAUGGGUCGAGUGGAAGAUUUCUGUGAGGAGACAGUGAGCAAAGGCACUGGGAAAUUUCCUGGAUCGAAACCCAUCACAUCACCAAUUUUCCCACAGCUGACUCAUUUCUUCAGGUAUCAAUUUCUCCACCUCUGGGUUCUGAUUUGAACCAACAAAACAGCAGUUAAUAUCUGUAUUAUUAUUUUCUAUAUGCCAGGCACUGUAUUAUAAAUUUGCAAGGUCAUGCUUACUCCUUGCCUUAUUGCGCUAUACUCAUUUUCUUGAUUAGAAAGUUCAAGCUUGCGGCGUGCCUGGGUGGCUCAGUUGGUUAAGUGUCUGACUCUUGAUUUCAACUCUGGUCAUGAUCUCGUGGUCACGGAAUGGAGCCUCAUGUCAGACCCCGGGCUGGGCACAGAGCUUGCUUAGGAUUCUUUCUCAACAUCUUCCUCUGCCCCCUCACCUCAAAAAAAAAAAAAAAAAGUUGAAGCUUGGACAAGCCAAAUAAUUUACUCAAAGUCAGAGUUAGUAUUGACAUUCCUGCUUAGUCCAACCACUAAAAAUACCUAAAUACUUACACUGCCUACCUGAGAAGACUGAUGCCAUUCAUUCAAUACAUAUAGGUAAAUGCCUAACAGCACACACACAUACAGAGCAAAUCGUACUCAGCAGAAAUAUACGUCCAUUUACCCCACAGACAAGGAAAUGAACAUCAAGAUGGCCACACAACCAAAGAUCCCCAAACACUGGGGGAAAAUCAGCAUCACCGGAGGAACAUGAAAUUACAUCAGAAUUACAUUGAAAUUAUAAUUAUAUGAAGAAGAUGUUGCCUUAGGAAGCAAAGUUUAGAGCAUCAGGAAAUUUUUUAGAAUCAGUAUAAUUAAUGUUGACGUAUGAAAAAAUGUUGAAGAGAUUUAAUUUAUAUAUAAAUUAAAACAGAAAUCUUAGAGAGCUGGAGAACAAAGUAAGAACAAUGACAUAAAAAAGCGUGUUAAAGAGCAGAACUGAUAUAGCUGCAAUUUGAAUUUGUAAGCUGGAGGGCGGCAACAAAGAAUUCUUCCAAAAUGUAGCCCCAGAAGACAAAGAGCCACAACAUAUUAAUGAAGCAGUAAGACACAGUAGGUUUAUCAAAGAGUUUCAAAUCCUGUCUAAAUGAACUUGCAAAAGGAAAGAAACACAAAACAGAGGCUUGAAGGGAAGAAAUAAAUAAGACGGAUUUUCAGAGAGGAAAACAUGAGUCCUUAAAUUGAAAUAGCCCACUGAGUGUUAAGCAGGACAAAUGUAACAGGAAUGACACAUGCAUGCACUGUGGUGGUGACAUUUCAGAAAACUAACGAUGCAAACCGUGUCUUACAGGCCAAUGAAGCUGAGUGAAAGAGAAGAUAGUUUCUCUAGAAAGAAAUGAACACCAGGUUGGAAUCCAAUUUCUCAGAAGCAGGAGAGGAUUUCUGAAAGCCAUGAGGCAAUCUUUUCUUUUUUUUUUUUUAAUUUUUUUUUUCAACGUU